rnacentral:rRNA from 1 species
ACAUGCAAGUCGAACGCUGAAGCCAGAGCUUGCUCUGGUGGAUGAGUGGCGAACGGGUGAGUAACACGUGAGUAACCUGCCCCAAACUUUGGGAUAAGCGCUGGAAACGGCGUCUAAUACCGAAUGUGACCCAUGACGGCAUCGUCUGUGGGUGGAAAGAUUUAUCGGUUUGGGAUGGACUCGCGGCCUAUCAGCUUGUUGGUGAGGUAAUGGCUCACCAAGGCGACGACGGGUAGCCGGCCUGAGAGGGUGACCGGCCACACUGGGACUGAGACACGGCCCAGACUCCUACGGGAGGCAGCAGUGGGGAAUAUUGCACAAUGGGCGCAAGCCUGAUGCAGCAACGCCGCGUGAGGGACGAAGGCCUUCGGGUUGUAAACCUCUUUUAGUAGGGAAGAAGCGAAAGUGACGGUACCUGCAGAAAAAGCACCGGCUAACUACGUGCCAGCAGCCGCGGUAAUACGUAGGGUGCAAGCGUUGUCCGGAAUUAUUGGGCGUAAAGAGCUCGUAGGCGGCUUGUCACGUCUGCUGUGAAAUCCCGAGGCUCAACCUCGGGCUUGCAGUGGGUACGGGCAGGCUAGAGUGCGGUAGGGGAGAUUGGAAUUCCUGGUGUAGCGGUGGAAUGCGCAGAUAUCAGGAGGAACACCGAUGGCGAAGGCAGAUCUCUGGGCCGCUACUGACGCUGAGGAGCGAAAGCAUGGGGAGCGAACAGGAUUAGAUACCCUGGUAGUCCAUGCCGUAAACGUUGGGAACUAGAUGUAGGGACCAUUCCACGGUUUCUGUGUCGUAGCUAACGCAUUAAGUUCCCCGCCUGGGGAGUACGGCCGCAAGGCUAAAACUCAAAGGAAUUGACGGGGGCCCGCACAAGCGGCGGAGCAUGCGGAUUAAUUCGAUGCAACGCGAAGAACCUUACCAAGGCUUGACAUAGACGAGAACGCUGUAGAGAUACAGAACUCUUUGGACACUCGUUUACAGGUGGG